rfam:Danio rerio chromosome 4, GRCz11 reference primary assembly.
GUCUCUGUGGCGUAAUCGGUUAGCGCGUUCGGCUGUUAACUGAAAGGUUGGUGGUUCAAGCCCACCCAGGCACG